rnacentral:rRNA from 1 species
UUUGACAUGAGUAGCGUUAAAGGGGGUGAAAAGCCCCCUCGCCGAAAGCGCAAGGUUUCCUACGCAACGUUCAUCGGCGUAGGGUGAGUCGGCCCCUAAGGCGAGGCAGAGAUGCGUAGCUGAUGGGAAACAGGUCAAUAUUCCUGUACCGAUGUGUAGUGCGAUGUGGGGACGGAGAAGGUUAACUCAGCCGGGUGUCGGAUGUCCCGGUUCAAGCUCGUAGUCGUGGUCCUUAGGCAAAUCCGGGGAUCUUAGAUGAGGAGUGAUAACGAGGCGGCUUGCCGCUGAAGUGAGCGAUACCCUGCUUCCAAGAAAAGCCACUAAGCUUCAGCUACACACGACCGUACCGCAAACCGACACUGGUGCGCGAGAUGAGUAUUCUAAGGCGCUUGAGAGAACUCUGGAGAAGGAACUCGGCAAAUUGACACCGUAACUUCGGAAGAAGGUGUGCCUUUAGUAGGUGAACCCGUACAGGGGGAGCCCAAUGAGGCCGCAGAGAAUCGGUGGCUGCAACUGUUUAUUAAAAACACAGCACUCUGCAAAGACGAAAGUCGACGUAUAGGGUGUGACUCCUGCCCGGUGCUGGAAGAUUAAAUGAUGGGGUGCAAGCUCUUGAUUGAAGUCCCAGUAAACGGCGGCCGUAACAAUAACGGUCCUAAGGUAGCGAAAUUCCUUGUCGGGUAAGUUCCGACCUGCACGAAUGGAGUAAUGAUGGCCACACUGUCUCCUCCAGAGACUCAGCGAAGUUGAAAUGUUUGUGAUGAUGCAAUCUCCCCGCGGAAAGACGGAAAGACCCCAUGAACCUUUACUGUAGCUUUACAUUGGACUUUGAACAGAUCUGUGUAGGAUAGGUGGGAGGCUUUGAAGCGGUGCCGCUAGGUAUCGUGGAGCCAACGUUGAAAUACCACCCUGGUGUGUUUGAGGUUCUAACCUUGGCCCGUUAUCCGGGUUGGGGACAGUGUAUGGUGGGCAGUUUGACUGGGGCGGUCUCCUCCCAAAGUGUAACGGAGGAGUUCGAAGGUACGCUAGGCACGGUCGGAAAUCGUGCUGAUAGUGCAUAGGCAUAAGCGUGCUUGACUGCGAGACUGACAAGUCGAGCAGGUACGAAAGUAGGACUAAGUGAUCCGGUGGUUCUGUAUGGAAGGGCCAUCGCUCAACGGAUAAAAGGUACUCUGGGGAUAACAGGCUGAUACCGCCCAAGAGUUCAUAUCGACGGCGGUGUUUGGCACCUCGAUGUCGGCUCAUCUCAUCCUGGGGCUGUAGCCGGUCCCAAGGGUAUGGCUGUUCGCCAUUUAAAGAGGUACGUGAGCUGGGUUUAAAACGUCGUGAGACAGUUUGGUCCCUAUCUUCCGUGGGCGCUGCAAGAUUGAGAGAGCCUGCUCCUAGUACGAGAGGACCGGAGUGGACGCACCUCUGGUGUAUCGGUUGUCACGCCAGUGGCAUUGCCGAGUAGCUAAGUGCGGAAGAGAUAACCGCUGAAAGCAUCUAAGCGGGAAACUCGUCUCAAGAUGAGUCUUGCCGGGGCCUUGAGCCCCCUGAAGAGUCGUUCGAGACCAGGACGUUGAUAGGUCGGGUGUGGAAGCGCAGUAAUGCGUUAAGCUAACCGAUACUAAUUGCUCGUGAGGCUUGACCCU